CUCUCCGCUGAAGAAACACCCGAAGCCUGAGAGUUACCGGACCAGCGCUGGGCAACAGAAUGGGGGGUUUGAAUAGGACACAAAAGAAAACCCCACGCUGAAAAGAGGCGGCGUAGCCUGCUACAAGCAAGCCAACUGCCAAACUGUCAUUUUGCCAUGCAGCUGAACAGAAGGGCCCAUGUAAUGACAACCACCAAACUCAUUUAAACUCUGAAAAGAUAUGAAGGCACGCAGAGCAACUGUUUUUAAAUAAUGACCUGACUAUGGAACAAUUUGCAUAUCAGAAGAGAUGACAAACAUUGUAUUCUUUAGUAUGGGCAUGAAAGCACAAAAGGCAAUAAAACAGAUGUAUAAAAUCA